GAUAAACGCUGGCGGCGUGCUUAACACAUGCAAGUCGAACGAAGUUUUUCUUUCGGGAGGUCCUUAGUGGCGGACGGGUGAGUAACGCGUGGGUAACCUGCCCUGUACAGGGGGACAACAGCUGGAAACGGCUGCUAAUACCGCAUAAGCCCUUAGCACUGCAUGGUGCAUAGGGAAAAGGAGCAAUCCGGUACAGGAUGGACCCGCGUCUGAUUAGCCAGUUGGCAGGGUAACGGCCUACCAAAGCGACGAUCAGUAGCCGAUCUGAGAGGAUGUACGGCCACAUUGGGACUGAGACACGGCCCAGACUCCUACGGGAGGCAGCAGUGGGGAAUAUUGCACAAUGGAGGAAACUCUGAUGCAGCGACGCCGCGUGAGUGAAGAAGUAUUUCGGUAUGUAAAGCUCUAUCAGCAGGAAAGAAAAUGACGGUACCUGACUAAGAAGCACCGGCUAAAUACGUG
rnacentral:rRNA from 1 species